rnacentral:rRNA from 1 species
GUAGGUGAACCUGCUGCAAGAUCAGGUA